AUAGUAUCUCCAGCACAGGCGGGCACUCAAACAUCAUCUGGGGCCGGGCAUGGUGGUUCAUGCCUGUAAUCCCAAAGCUGAGGCGAGUGGAUCACUUGAGGUCAGGAGUUCGAGACCAGCCUGGUCAACAUAGUGAAACCCCAUCUCCACUAAAAAUAAAAAAUUUGCUGGACGUGAUGGCAUGCACCUGUAAUCCCAGCUAAUAGGGAGGCUGAGGCAGGAGAAUUGCUUGAACCCGGGAGGCGGAGGUUGCGGUGAGCUGAGAUCAUGCCAUUGCACUCUAGCCUGGA
rnacentral:lncRNA from 10 species